rnacentral:rRNA from 1 species
ACGAACGCUGGCGGCGUGCCUAAUACAUGCAAGUUGAGCGCUGAAGGUUGGUACUUGUACCCACUGGAUGAGCAGCGAACGGGUGAGUAACGCGUGGGGAAUCUGCCUUUGAGCGGGGGACAACAUUUGGAAACGAAUGCUAAUACCGCAUAAAAACUUUAAACACAAGUUUUAAGUUUGAAAGAUGCAAUUGCAUCACUCAAAGAUGAUCCCGCGUUGUAUUAGCUAGUUGGUGAGGUAAAGGCUCACCAAGGCGAUGAUACAUAGCCGACCUGAGAGGGUGAUCGGCCACAUUGGGACUGGGACACGGCCCAAACUCCUACGGGAGGCAGCAGUAGGGAAUCUUCGGCAAUGGACGAAAGUCUGACCGAGCAACGCCGCGUGAGUGAAGAAGGUUGUCGGAUCGUAAAACUCUGUUGGUAGAGAAGAACGUUGGUGAGAGUGGAAAGCUCAUCAAGUGACGGUAACUACCCAGAAAGGGACGGCUAACUACGUG